UGGAAGCCGCCGUUACGCGUCACUCGGCGCACGAGCGCCCGCCGAUGAGACUGCCUUCUCCGAGGCUGUAGCAGAUCUCAGAUGAUGGGGUGUUGGCGUUCAUCCACAAUUAACCUUCAUUCAGUUUCAGAUGGUUUAUUUCUGCUCCUGUAUUUCCUGCUUUUUGCGCCACCCGCGCGCUCCCCGCGUUGGAGGGCUCUUCCGGUGCUAGCAGGAGGGGCUCACCUGCGCUCAGGUGUCUGCAGGUGCUCUCUUUACCGUGACUCAGCAGAACCUCACCUGUGGCAGCACGAGCCUCUUUCUUGUUCUGGAGUGGCCUCAGGUUCCAGCUCCUCUCUGGAUCAGCUGAUGUUGGAGUCCUCACCACUGCCUGCAGUCCAUCUCUGA
rnacentral:lncRNA from 1 species